AGCGGGUGGAGGCCCUGGGCCAGUUUGUCAUGAAGACCAGAAGGACACUCAAAGGCCACGGCAACAAGGUCCUCUGCAUGGACUGGUGCAAAGAUAAGCGGAGGAUCGUGAGCUCCUCGCAGGAUGGAAAGGUGAUUGUGUGGGACUCCUUCACCACCAACAAGGAGCACGCGGUCACCAUGCCCUGCACGUGGGUGAUGGCAUGUGCGUACGCCCCAUCUGGAUGUGCCAUUGCCUGCGGGUAAGUUGCUCGGAUUCCCAUCAGCCACA